GUGGGUAGUUUGACUGGGGCGGUCUCCUCCUAAAGAGUAACGGAGGAGCACGAAGGUUGGCUAAUCCUGGUCGGACAUCAGGAGGUUAGUGCAAUGGCAUAAGCCAGCUUGACUGCGAGCGUGACGGCGCGAGCAGGUGCGAAAGCAGGUCAUAGUGAUCCGGUGGUUCUGAAUGGAAGGGCCAUCGCUCAACGGAUAAAAGGUACUCCGGGGAUAACAGGCUGAUACCGCCCAAGAGUUCAUAUCGACGGCGGUGUUUGGCACCUCGAUGUCGGCUCAUCACAUCCUGGGGCUGAAGUAGGUCCCAAGGGUAUGGCUGUUCGCCAUUUAAAGUGGUACGCGAGCUGGGUUUAGAACGUCGUGAGACAGUUCGGUCCCUAUCUGCCGUGGGCGCUGGAGAACUGAGGGGGGCUGCUCCUAGUACGAGAGGACCGGAGUGGACGCAUCACUGGUGUUCGGGUUGUCAUGCCAAUGGCACUGCCCGGUAGCUAAAUGCGGAAGAGAUAAGUGCUGAAAGCAUCUAAGCACGAAACUUGCCCCGAGAUGAGUUCUCCCUGAGACUUAGAGUCUCCUGAAGGAACGUUGAAGACGACGACGUUGAUAGGCCGGGUGUGUAAGCGCAGCGAUGCGUUGAGCUAACCGGUACUAAUGAACCGUGAGGCUUAACCU
rnacentral:rRNA from 1 species